GAUGAACGCUGGCGGCGUGCCUAACACAUGCAAGUCGAGCGAACGGACGAGACGCUUGUUUUUCUGUUGUUAGCGGCGCACGGGAGAGUAACACGUGUAUAACCCACUUAUAUGACGGGUAUAACCUCGGGAAACCGGAGCUAAUACCGGAUAAUAUUUUGAACCGCAUGGUUCAUAAGUGAAAGACGGCCUUGCGGUCACUUAUCGAUGGAUCCGCGCUGCAUUAGCUAGUUGGUAGGGUAACGGCUUACCAAGGCAACGAUGCAUAGACGAAGUGAGAGGGUGAUCGGCCACAUGGGAACUGGAACGCGGUCCAGAGUCCUGCGGGAGGCCGCAGUCGGCAAUCGUCCGCAAUGGGCGAGAGCCUUGCGCAAUGAGGGCGCGUCAGUGGUGGAGGUCUUCGGAGCGGAAAGCUCUGUUAUGAGGGGAGAACAUAUGUGUACGUAACUGAAGACAUCGUGACGGUAACUAGUCAAGAAGCCCCGGCUAACUACGUG
rnacentral:rRNA from 1 species